rnacentral:rRNA from 1 species
UACGAAGGGGGCUAGCGUUGUUCGGAAUUACUGGGCGUAAAGCGCGCGCAGGCGGUUCUCAAGUCAGAGGUGAAAUCCCCGGGCUCAACCUGGGAAUUGCAUCUGUGACUGCAUCGCUAGAGUACGGUAGAGGGGGAUGGAAUUCCGCGUGUAGCAGUGAAAUGCGUAGAUAUGCGGAGGAACACCGAUGGCGAAGGCAAUCCCCUGGACCUGUACUGACGCUCAUGCACGAAAGCGUGGGGAGCAAACAGG